AUUGAACGCUGGCGGCAUGCCUUACACAUGCAAGUCGAACGGUAACAGGUCUUCGGAUGCUGACGAGUGGCGAACGGGUGAGUAAUACAUCGGAACGUGCCCAAUCGUGGGGGAUAACGAAGCGAAAGCUUUGCUAAUACCGCAUAAGAUCUACGGAUGAAAGCAGGGGACCGCAAGGCCUUGCGCGAACGGAGCGGCCGAUGGCAGAUUAGGUAGUUGGUGGGAUAAAAGCUUACCAAGCCGACGAUCUGUAGCUGGUCUGAGAGGACGACCAGCCACACUGGGACUGAGACACGGCCCAGACUCCUACGGGAGGCAGCAGUGGGGAAUUUUGGACAAUGGGCGAAAGCCUGAUCCAGCCAUGCCGCGUGCAGGAUGAAGGCCUUCGGGUUGUAAACUGCUUUUGUACGGAACGAAAAGACUCUGGUUAAUACCUGGGGUCCAUGAUGGUACCGUAAGAAUAAGCACCGGCUAACUACGUGCCAGCCGCCGCAGUAAUAC
rnacentral:rRNA from 1 species